GACAGCAGCCGCCGCGGGAAAACGGAGGGUGCAAGCGUUAAUCGGAAUUACUGGGCGUAAAGCGCACGCAGGCGGUUUGUUAAGUCAGAUGUGAAAUCCCCGAGCUUAACUUGGGAACUGCAUUUGAAACUGGCAAGCUAGAGUCUUGUAGAGGGGGGUAGAAUUCCAGGUGUAGCGGUGAAAUGCGUAGAGAUCUGGAGGAAUACCGGUGGCGAAGGCGGCCCCCUGGACAAAGACUGACGCUCAGGUGCGAAAGCGUGGGGAGCAAACAGGAUUAGAUACCCGCGUAGUCCCUGUCUCUUAUAC
rnacentral:rRNA from 1 species